rnacentral:lncRNA from 13 species
ACCGAAAUGGGGGUACUUGGUACCUGAGCGUUGCGCUUUUCGUUUGUCCCUCCAUAGACAGUGGGUUUGAGCUCGUCAGAGGACCGCGAAGCAAUGAGAGGUCGGGCAUGGAUACAUUGUAUUGCUCCCGCUUUCACCUAGCAAAACUCAAUCCGAGUUGGCAAAAAUCCCAAACUGCAGAUUACAAUCGACUUUGAACCCUACACCAAUAGUCACUGCACUCUCAGCUCGCAUUUAACAAAUAACCUGCUGGAGAGGGAAACACACAGACAGAGAUGCUGCUGUCUUCAAGAACCACACCUGCUUUUCCUGUUUGAACAAAACUUCAGCUACAGUUGACAAUCUUCUGGAUUGUGACCCAUGGGACCAAACAGAAGUUGGAACUGCUGAGAUGAGGCAGUCACAUAUUGAACACACACACAUACACGCACACACCAGGGGAGGCUGGUGGGAGGAGCUAUAGGAGGACGGCUCAUUGUAAUGACUGAAAUUGAAUUAUUGGAAUGGAGUCAAAUAUGUGGCUUCCAUAUGUUUGAUGUGGUUCAUACCGUUCCAUGAAUUCCAUUUCAGUCAUUACAAUGGGUCUGUUCUUCUAUAGCUCCUCCCACUAGCCUCCUCUGGCACACACACACAAACACAUGCACACACACACACAGACUGACACACAGAAACCUUUUUAGCUUGUCCACUCGCCACUGUGCCACAUGUGCUGCUUCAGUCUUAUAGCCUGGAACUAUCGAGGUAAUAAUGUGGCUCUCCUAUUGAAUUCUCUAAUGAACAUGUUUGUAGGACGUUAACAUAGGAUGCAACCUAUAUACA